ACGACUCUGAGCGAACAAGAUGUCCUUCUCCUCCACCACGAGGUGGAUUUUGGCUCUAAGUGUUUUUCUUCGGGCUUUUGUGUUCCCAAAAGCGAUUUAGAACCCUUGGCUAAUGAUUUCGAAUGGUCCAACCCGUCCCACAUCGAUGGCCAGGAACUCUUCGAAGGCGACAUUCUCCUGACGGCGGGACAGAAACUCCUUUUGCAGGAAAGGAAGGCUGUUGAUUACCUAACCAGAAGAUGGCCGAGCGGACCAGACGGUUUUCCUCUGGUCCGAUACACGUUUUACGACGAGAACGUAGACCAAGGAGCAGUGAUGGAAGCCAUCAGUCACUGGACAGAGAGCACCUGCAUCAAAUUCCAGAGAACGUCCCCGGGGGAGAUGAAUCCUCACAUUCAAUUCCACAAAGGCUUCGGUUGUUGGUCCUACAUCGGAAUGCUCAAGCAAGCAGGGCAGUUGUUGUCGAUCGGGAAUGGAUGU